rnacentral:rRNA from 1 species
UACGUAGGGGGCAAGCGUUGUCCGGAAUCAUUGGGCGUAAAGCGCGUGUAGGCGGCUCGGUAAGUCCGCUCUGAAAGUCCGGGGCUCAACCCUGGGAUGCGGGUGGAUACUGCCGGGCUCGAGUCCGGAAGAGGCGAGUGGAAUUCCCGGUGUAGCGGUGAAAUGCGCAGAUAUCGGGAGGAACACCAAUGGCGAAGGCAGCUCGCUGGGACGUGACUGACGCUGAGACGCGAAAGCGUGGGGAGCAAACAGG